UACGUAGGGUGCAAGCGUUGUCCGGAAUUAUUGUGCGUAAAGAGCUCGUAGGCGGUCUGUCGCGUCGGCUGUGAAAACCUGGGGCUCAACUCCGGGCCUGCAGCCGAUACGGGCAGACUAGAAUUCGGUAGGGGAGACUGGAAUUCCUGGUGUAGCGGUGAAAUGCGCAGAUAUCAGGAGGAACACCGGUGGCGAAGGCGGGUCUCUGGGCCGAUAUUGACGCUGAGGAGCGAAAGCGUGGGGAGCGAACAGU
rnacentral:rRNA from 1 species